CUUUUCCUUUUUCUCUUUCCCUUUUUUAACCAUUUGCUCAGUGGUUAAACUGAGUGGGAUGGAGGGAAACCAAGAGGAGAUCAGCAAAGCUUGAUUUUCACUUUUUACCCCCCAGUUGGUGCAGUCACCAAGGGAUUCCUACAGCCCUGAUGGGAGAAGCUUUCAGAGCUGUGCUUCACUGUGCAGAAGCAUCAUCCCCAAUCUUCCCAGAGCCAAAGGACAGUUCAAAUUAGGAAAAAAUUCUUCUCAGAAGGCUUUGCUACACCUCCUCUUUGGCCUCUUCUGUAGCCAUUCUUAUCACCACAUACAUAAUUUGGGAUGUGAAGGGGAGCCAGGAUAAAACUGUCUUCCCUGAUUUGUUAUCAAUGUGUUGGACCAGGCCUUUAGCUGGUGUAACCAGCACCACUCUAUUGCUAUGCAGAGAGAAAGGGUUGACCGAAUCAAUAAAAGUUUGUUGAAAGCAACAGAACUGGGAAGAGGAAUGAGACCUUCCAGCUGUACCCCAAAGCAACAGAAGUGAUUAAUGACUGCAGCAAACUCUGCUCUUGGUCUCCGUUUCUGCGUGAUGACUGGAUGCCUUUGGGGAAGAUGACCUUGAGACAGGGCAGCUGAAGGAAGUGUGAUGACCUGAGGAUGACAGGAAGAUGGGUGUUAUCAGUUCCUUCUAAGCAAAGCUGAGGGAUUCUGUUCACAUAACUGUGGACUUUUAGAAUUGAAAUAUUGCCACCUGAGCACAUUUUAGCUGAUCUAUUCUGUACGGGUUGGGACGAUAAGUCUUGAGCUCUGGGCUCUGUGGACUACAUUGACUAGACCUUUACCAACUCUCAAGGGAUUUCAUGUGACAAGUAGGAAGUGAAAGUGUUUGUGAAUACACAUCUACUCACUGUCUGAAGCCACCUUGUAUCCCUAAAACCUCUUUGUUGAAUGCUUUGGAAGAUGUUAAUAGGUGUUGAGAUAUACAUCAGUGUGGUUGGGACUUCCAACAUCUACUCUAACUGGAAUUCUUCUUGUCAACCGCAUUCACAAGCCAGACUUCUCUGUACCAAAACCAGCGAGAAAGAUUUGGAAUCAAGGUCAUAGCACUUCAGUAGAAAAUAUUUCAUGUGUGUAUGGGGAGUUACUACAUUAUGGUGAAAGAGUUUUCAAAAGUGAAGAAAGAUAAACAGGGUGCUAAAAUGAACUGAGUCUAAUGUUUUUUUUAUACAGCUGUCAGCUUUAUGAACAAUCCAUAAACAUAUUGUGAGCCCCUUUUAUGGCUUACAUGGGGCUAUCAAACCAAC